AACCAGCCGUGGAGUGUAAAGGCAUAAGGGAGCUUUACUGCGAGAGAGACAUUUCGAG
rnacentral:rRNA from 1 species